ensembl:lncRNA
CAGUGGUCCCAGGAAUGGAGGCAGCAGAGGAAGGAGAGAGGAGAGAGGGAGGAUAGAGGAGGGGAUGUGUUAACUGAGCCCUCUCCUUGGUAUGAGGGAAGGAGGAGAAAGAUAGACUCCGACUGCUAUUUACGAGAUGCACAAUUGAGAGCAUCCUGUCGAGCUGUAUCACCGCCUGGUAGGCAACUACACCGCCCACAACCGCUAGGCUCUCCAGAGGGUGGUGCGGUCUGCACAACGCAUCACCGGGGCAAAUUACCUGCCCUCCAGGUCACCUACAGCACCCGAUGUCACAGGAAGGCCAACAAAAAGAAUCAAGGACAACAACCACCCGAGCCACUGCCUGUUCACCCCGCUAUCAUCCAGAAGGCGAGAUUUCCUCCUCUUCGUCUGAAGAGGUGUAGUAUGGAUCGGACCAAGAUGUGGCAUGAAUUGCUGAAAAUCAACAAGACCAACAUUCCUUUGUGACCCUUUCCAUUUGCCAC